rnacentral:rRNA from 1 species
UACGAAGGACCCGAGCGUUAUCCGGAUUUAUUGGGUUUAAAGGGUGCGUAGGCGUCUUGGAAAGUUACGGUUGAAAUCUCCUUGCUCAACAAGGAAACUGGCCGUAAAAACUAUCAGGAUUGAGUACAUUUGAAGCGGGCGGAAUGUGUCAUGUAGCGGUGAAAUGCUUAGAUAUGACACAGAACACCAAUUGCGAAGGCAGCUCGCUAAACUGUAACUGACGCUGAGGCACGAAAGCGUGGGGAUCAAACAGG